UACGGAGGGGGCUAGCGUUGUUCGGAAUUGCUGGGCGUAAAGCGCACGUAGGCGGCUUUGCAAGUUAGAGGUGAAAGCCCGGGGCUCAACUCCGGAAUUGCCUUUAAAACUGCAUCGCUAGAAUUGUGGAGAGGUAAGUGGAAUUCCGAGUGUAGAGGUGAAAUUCGUAGAUAUUCGGAAGAACACCAGUGGCGAAGGCGACUUACUGGACACAUAUUGACGCUGAGGUGCGAAAGCGUGGGGAGCAAACAGG
rnacentral:rRNA from 1 species